rnacentral:rRNA from 1 species
AGAACGAACGCUGGCGGCAGGCUUAACACAUGCAAGUCGAACGCCCCGCAAGGGGAGUGGCAGACGGGUGAGUAACGCGUGGGAAUCUACCCAGUUCUACGGAAUAACACAGGGAAACUUGUGCUAAUACCGUAUACGCCCUACGGGGGAAAGAUUUAUCGGGAUUGGAUGAGCCCGCGUUGGAUUAGCUAGUUGGUGGGGUAAUGGCCUACCAAGGCGACGAUCCAUAGCUGGUCUGAGAGGAUGAUCAGCCACACUGGGACUGAGACACGGCCCAGACUCCUACGGGAGGCAGCAGUGGGGAAUAUUGGACAAUGGGCGCAAGGCCUGAUCCAGCCAUGCCGCGUGAGUGAUGAAGGCCUUAGGGUUGUAAAGCUCUUUCAGUGGGGAAGAUAAUGACGGUACCACAGAAGAAGCCCGGCUAACUUCGCGCCAGCAGCCGC